rnacentral:misc_RNA from 1 species
GAUGAAGAACUUAGUGAAAUGCGAUAAGUAGUGUGAAUUGCAGAAUUCAGUGAAUCAUCGAAUCUUUGAACGCACAUUGCGCCCCUUGGUAUUCCAUGGGGCAUGCCUGUUCGAGCGUCAUUUGUACCUUCAAGCUCUGCUUGGUGUUGGGUGUUUGUCUCGCCUCUGCGUGUAGACUCGCCUCAAAACAAUUGGCAGCCGGCGUAUUGAUUUCGGAGCGCAGUACAUCUCGCGCUUUGCACUCAUAACGACGACGUCCAAAAGUACAUUUUUACACUCUUGACCUCGGAUCAGGUAGGGAUACCCGCUGAACUUAAGCAUAUCAAUAAGCGGAGGA